GUCUAUGGCCACACCACCCUGAACAUGCCCAAUCUCAUCUGAUCUCAGAAGAUAAGCGGGGUCAGGUCUGGUUAGUACUUUGAUGGGAGAAUACAGGUUCUCAAAGUAG
ensembl:rRNA 5S_rRNA 5S ribosomal RNA